CCUACACAUGCAGUCGAGGGGUAGUUACUUUCGGGUAAUGAGACCGGCGCACGGGUGCGUAACGCGUAUGCAAUCUACCUUUUACAGGGGAAUAGCCCAGAGAAAUUUGGAUUAAUGCCCCAUAAUAUAUGUUUUUCGCAUGUUAGACAUAUUAAAGUUCCAACGGUAAAAGAUGAGCAUGCGUCCCAUUAGUUAGUUGGUAAGGUAACGGCUUACCAAGACGAUGAUGGGUAGGGGUCCUGAGAGGGAGAUCCCCCACACUGGUACUGAGACACGGACCAGACUCCUACGGGAGGCAGCAGUGAGGAAUAUUGGACAAUGGGCGCAAGCCUGAUCCAGCCAUGCCGCGUGCAGGAAGACGGUCCUAUGGACUGUAAACUGCUUUUGUACGGGAAGAAACACUCCUACGUGUAGGAGCUUGACGGUACCGUAAGAAUAAGGAUCGGCUAACUCCGUGCCAGCAGCCGCGGUAAUACGGAGGAUCCAAGCGUUAUCCGGAAUCAUUGGGUUUAAAGGGUCCGUAGGCGGUUUAGUAAGUCAGUGGUGAAAGCCCAUCGCUCAACGAUGGAACGGCCAUUGAUACUGCUAGACUUGAAUUACAAGGAAGUAACUAGAAUAUGUAGUGUAGCGGUGAAAUGCUUAGAUAUUACAUGGAAUACCAAUUGCGAAGGCAGGUUACUACUUGUGGAUUGACGCUGAUGGACGAAAGCGUGGGGAGCGAACAGGAUUAGAUACCCU
rnacentral:rRNA from 1 species